UGCAUCAAAUGAUGAAAUAGGAAAAUAAUCUUAGGACACCUUCCAACACAUCACAUUUUUUGUGCUGUGGAUGAGAAUAAAAUUCCGUUCUGAUGAUGCU